rnacentral:rRNA from 1 species
GACGAACGCUGGCGGCGUGCCUAACACAUGCAAGUCGAGCGAAUGAAGUUGCAGCGGGAAUGGAUGUAGCGGCGGACGGGUGAGUAACACGUAGGCAAAUUGCCUCCUAGAGGGGAAUAGCCUACCGAAAGGGAGAUUAAUACCGCAUAAAUAUGUAGUACCGCAUGAUAGAGCAAUUAAAGGAGCAAGCCGUGCUGAGAUGGGUCGGCGGGGCAUUAGCUCGUUGGCAAGGUAAUGGCUCACCAAGGCGACGAUGCGUAGCCGACCAGAGAGGCUGAUCGGCCACAUCUGGGCUGGGCCACAGCCCGGACUCCUACGGGAGGCAGCAAUGGCUAAUAUUGCACCAUGGCGGAAGCCCUGAUGCUCCAACGACGCGUAAGUUAUGUCGUCCUUCAGGUAGUAAAGCUCUGUCUUCAGGGACCAUAAUGACGGUACCUGAUGAGGAAGCCACGGCUAACUACGUG